rfam:Aedes albopictus isolate Foshan contig18764, whole genome shotgun sequence.
UGUUCUGUGGCUUAGUUGGUUAAAACGCCGGUCUAGCGAAUAAGGAGUUGUGGGUUCGAAUCCCACCAGAACGC